CCUGGGAAAUCAUGUCCACUGCAUUUUAUUGAUUACAGCUAAAAGUACUGAAGGAAGCAUAUGAGCCCCCUGGCUGGUCUCACAUUCAGUUGGCAAAUCCUGGAACUGGCCUGGCCAUCAUGCAGUAUCUCUUCAUCCUUUCCUAUGGGAAGGACUUCUCUUCCCUUUCACCAACCUGAGAGGCCUUUGCUAAAGAAGCAACAUCUGUCACUUUCAGCUCUGAGGUGGCCUGAGAGCCAGUAGAAGGAGAGCACACAGCACAGGGGACAGGCUUCCCAGCCAUUCCUCGAUCUGGGA
rnacentral:lncRNA from 1 species